rnacentral:rRNA from 1 species
GACGAACGCUGGCGGCGUGCUUAACACAUGCAAGUCGAACGGAAAGGCCCUGCUUUUGUGGGGUGCUCGAGUGGCGAACGGGUGAGUAACACGUGAGUAACCUGCCCUUGACUUUGGGAUAACUUCAGGAAACUGGGGCUAAUACCGGAUACGAUCUCCUGCUGCAUGGUGGGGGUUGGAAAGUUUCGGCGGUUGGGGAUGGACUCGCGGCUUAUCAGCUUGUUGGUGGGGUAGUGGCUUACCAAGGCUUUGACGGGUAGCCGGCCUGAGAGGGUGACCGGCCACAUUGGGACUGAGAUACGGACCAGACGCCUACGGGAGGCAGCAGGGGGGAAUAUUGCACAAUGGGCGGAAGCCUGAUGCAGCAACGCCGCGUGCGGGAUGACGGCCUUCGGGUUGUAAACCGCUUUCGCCUGUGACGAAGCGUGAGUGACGGUAAUGGGUAAAGAAGCACCGGCUAACUACGUG